rnacentral:lncRNA from 1 species
CAUUUCAGCCAGUCAGUCAUCUCUUCAAAUGCCUCCAGUGGAAUUUCCAUGACUUUCAGAGUUUUUGGAGCUGCAGUCUGUACUCCAUGGCCUUGGGGUGCGAGUGAGUGGCUUUCCCUCACUCAGGCUCAGAACCACUACAGUAGCAGGACGCCACCCUAAGGUGCUGGUUGGGUUGAUGGAAGCAAAGGCUUGGCAGCAAGAAUAAAAAAGCUUGAGGCUUACGGAAGAUUUAGAACUUUACUCAAUUCAAGAAGCUUCAGAAAUGGAAAUGUGGACAUAAUAUCAGAAACCAUGGAAAUUAAAAAAAAAAAAACAAACCAUCAGGUCCUACUACAAAAGUUUUAUACCCAGCUAAACUGGAAACUCUGGAUGAAAGGAAGCUUCAAUCUAUGAUCUGGGGAUCCCUCGGUGCCCCAUGGAGCGCCCUGGAGGACCCAACACGGGAAGAAGAAGGAGGAACACUGGGCAGAACUCAGAAGCCCUGGCUUGCUGGAGCGUCUGUUAACUUUAUAUAAUGGGACCAAUCUGCAAUAUCGUUUUUAAAACUUUUGAUGCAGUGUCUUCUGUAGCCCAGGCUGGUCUUGAACUUGCAACAGAGUUGACAAUCACCUUGAACUUCUGAUCUUCUUACUCUCACCUCCUGCAUGCUCCAAUUAUGGUUAGGCACCGUCACAAACGGUCUCUGAAGUGCAGGGGAUUGAACCCAGGACUUCACGUACUCUGCCCACCAAGCCACAUGCCGGGCCCUCUGCACCAUCACUUGGAGGAUUCUGAUGCUCAGAUAUUUCCGCACACUCUUCAGUUGAGUUCUCCUCUCUUAGGUCAAAGCAGGCUAAGCUACGACAGACAAACAAGCCCAGGCUUAGCUUGGAGGACGAGAG